rnacentral:rRNA from 1 species
GAGUUUGAUCCUGGCUCAGGAUGAACGCUGGCGGCGUGCUUAACACAUGCAAGUCGAACGAAGCGCCUUAUUUGAUUUUCUUCGGAACUGAAGAUUUGGUUGACUGAGUGGCGGACGGGUGGAGUAACGCGUGGGUAACCGUGCCCUCGUACAGGGGGAGUAACAAUCAGAAAUAGACUGCUAAUAACCGCCAUAAGACCA